AGGGUGUAAACGCUGCAGACUUGGUGUUGGGAACCCUUCGGGGGUGCUCAGUGCCGGAGAGAAGUUGUUAAGUCUGCUACUUGGGGAGUACGUCCGCAAGGAUGAAACUUAAAGGAAUUGGCGGGGGAGCACCGCAACGGGAGGAGCGUGCGGUUUAAUUGGAUUCAACACCGUAAAACUCACCAGGGAAGACUGUUACAUGAAGGCCGAGAUGAAGACUCUGCUAGAUUUUCAGAGGUGGUGCAUGGCGUCAGUGACU
rnacentral:rRNA from 1 species